rnacentral:tRNA from 1 species
UCCCUGGUAGCUCAGUUGGUAGAGCAGGUGGCUGUUAACCACCGCGCCGCUGGUUCGAGUCCAGCCCGGGGAGCCA